GAAAUGCGAUAAGCAGUGUGAAUUGCAGAAUUCAGCAAAUCAUCGAAUCUUUGAACUCACAUUGCGCCCCUUGGUAUUCCAUGGGGCAUGCCUGUUCGAGCGUCAUUUGUACCCUCAAGCUUUGCUUGGUGUUGGGCGUCUUGUCCUCUUCUGGAGGACUCGACUCAAAACAAUUGGCAACCGGCAUAUUGGUAUCGGAGCGCAGCACAAGUCGCACUUUGUUCCAUGCAUGUUGGCAUCCAUCAAGACCAUUUUUUCACUCUUUACCGCGGAUCAGGUAGGGAUACCCGCUGAACUUUA
rnacentral:misc_RNA from 1 species